GAACAGAGUCUAUUUGUUUUAUUUCAUCUUGCAUUUGUGUUGUUAAAGCAAAGCGUUCUAUACAUAUUAUUUAGCUAUUUACUGCCACUCUACACCCAUUAUUGACCUAAUUGCAGAAAGACAAAUGCAGGGACAAACUCGUUCAAAUGAGCAUAGAGAUAAUGCUUCUCUGACUUGGACAAAUACUUACUUAAAAAUAAGACACUGCUCAUGGGUUUCUUUUAUUAACAGUUAAUGGCUCAAUUCACAGAACUUUGAGACACCAUGGAACAUGUAGCAAAAUGCAAUGCUGACAAUACAUAAUGUCUUUUCACUACAUAUUCUGCAGAAGAAGAAUAUUAUGGUAACAGCUGAGCUACUGAUUAAUCAAACACCUAAAUGGAGAGAAUUUGGCAAGAUGGAUGGUACCUUUUAGAUACAAGAUGAUCCCAUACUUUUUUAUGCAGGCAAAAACCCUGUCAGUGUCACAGCCAUUAAGAAUGAUUAUCUGAAAAUACUUCUAUAUGUAUUUUAAAGUAAUGUGAGCCAGCAUUAUAGCAGGUGUCAUAGUUUGAUUGUAGCUUAGGUAUGGGAAAGACCUGAAGAAACCCCCCAAUAAACCCAAGUACUCUGACAUGUUUCAAAGCCGACUAACAAUGCAAUGGCUUAACAAAGGAAAAAGUACAAUUCAUUUUUGUUUCUUAACACUGUUUUUUUAACUGUGAAAAAUCACACUACCAGAAUCUCUUUAAAAAUGCUACUGUGAGAUAUGGAAAAAACAGACAUGAAAUGAGAGUGAGAGUCAGAAUGGGAAUUCUACUGAAACAAAAAAAAAAACACCUUAAAGCACUACAUGAAAGUAUUUUAAUAAAUCACUUUGUUCUGCUGCUUAAAAUGAAUGAAGUUGACAGUCAACUAUGGCACCUAUGAGAUGGCUAAUAGUUUCUCACUAAUAGACUGAUAUAAAACAAAAAGUUGUAAGAUUUCCAAUCAGACUGAAGAGUUCUUCCAUUUCAGUUGUUUCCCAGGUUGGCCGCUUCACUGUAUGUGUACUAAUGGAUGAAUAAAAUGUUGAAUGGGCUAAAGAGGUUUUCUCUCAACAUGUAUCCAUUAUUUCCCCCUUAUCUUUUUUAAAACAGGAAACAUCUUUUCUAGUACUUUUGGAGCCACAGACCCAUUUCUUGAGGAACUACUGCUACAGUAAAUUGCACAGAAAUACUUCAAACAAGUGUUAUAUGUGCCACACUUAGAAUUUCCAGCCUAAGACAUGCAGGUGUAGUAACCAAAGCAAAACAAUGGAAUUCUAACAGAGAAUGAAUAUUCAUUUACAGUUUUGCAAAUAGAGCAAGAACACCCGGAACUUAAAGAUUCACUUUCACAAUUCACAUGUUGAAAUCUGUUUUAAGGAAUUUUUGAUUGUGUUGUACAACAUAGAGAGGUCUUUAGAACUAACUCACUUGCUCUCAGUAGCACAUUGCACUAAAAGUACAGGAGCACGCCACAUCAAUUCAUUAUUGUAAAUAACACUCAUACAAGCGGGUACCGCUGCUAGCUGCAGAAUUCCAGGCUCUUAGCCCUUUGCAAUACGUGGCCCUGAAAUUCUUUGGAUGUGCAAUGUAUUUAACUCAGUUUAAGUGGCAAACUCACAUUAUGCUAUGCCUUAAAACCUUCCAAUAAAAAGUAUACGUGUUGAUUAUAAAUCCCAAGCGCGUUUCAAAUUUCUUAUCAUUUCCAAAAGCAAAACCACACAAUCAUAUCAAGUAUUUAAACAGCAAUAAAUAGUUCUUCUGAAACUCAGAGAAGAGGUGCAUUCAGCUAUCAUUAAAAACAGUAUCAGGUACUAACGUUUUAGCCUACGCUAUAUGUAUGGUGAAACAAUGUUCCCAGACUGACAGUACUCACACUGGAAAGCAUGAACAUCUCUUUUAAGCAAACUCAAUGCUAUAACACUGCUAUUUCUUUUCCUAGUAUUAUUUUUCUGGGAAAAUGGGUGAAGUUGAGAGAAAAAGAAAAGUAUUAAAAGCACUUCUUAAAAUUCAUCACCAUAUUUCACAGUCACAUGAAGGAAGCUGUGCUCUGUUUAUUCUAAGGAAAUAUCUUCACGAGCAUCUGGAAGCAGGUAUUUUUCUCUGCUGUUUGGAAGCAGAGGGAGGGAGAAAUCCCCCUCUUGAAGAAAAAAAAAGACUAGACACUCAAAUCCUGUUCCCUCUGCAGCCGGGGUAAAUAUUGCCAGCUGCUACAGGGGUGGGCAGGGACGGGGGCAGGAUUUUCUCCUUAGACCAUCUGAAUAACAGUUUCCUUCAGCCCUAUCAUUUAAUUUUAAAGUGGAAUUUGUUUUAUACAGCAGACCAAUAAGUACCCUAGGAGCUUGAUUGGUUGGUGCUUAAUGAAAUUGCUUCUGCUGACAUUAGACACAUUAGGAUACUGAUUAAAACACUUAAUGAUCCUUCCUGAUUUUAAAUUGCUAGCUUAUAUUUGUGAGAUGCCAUCGAAGUAUCCUUUUCCUUCCUUUCCUCCACUCUAAUCCUGCUUCUCCUUGCCCUUUUUCUGUUCAUGAUCCUUACAGUGGUGCUCAUUGGCACCAGCCUGAUCACAAACCGAAUGAUAACAUGAUGUUCAACACUGCAUUGUUUAAAAUAUGUCAACCCCCAAAAUAUAAACACUGAAAGACAGUCAUCUUUAAAAUACAAUUUCCCAGUUCAAAGCUCGAACUAUUCCUAAAUGUGGAAACACUGAGGAUUAUUAAUAAAAAGGGAAAUCCAAAAUCAGAAUAAACUUUAACUUUCUACAAUAUUUGAUGAAAAAAGAUAAUCCUGUAAAUGUAAAAACACGUAUAAAAGCUUUACUUUUGAGCUUCAAUGUGGAAGACAGCGAUACAUUGCCAGAUAAUAGUGUUGGAAUGGCAUUCCUAUGACAACA
ensembl:lncRNA